GACGAACGCUGGCGGCGUGCUUAACACAUGCAAGUCGAACGGAAAGGCCCCUUUGGGGGUACUCGAGUGGCGAACGGGUGAGUAACACGUGAGUAACCUGCCCUUGACUUCGGGAUAACUUCAGGAAACUGGGGCUAAUACCGGAUAGGAAUCCUUGCUGCAUGGUGGGGGUUGGAAAGCUUCGGCGGUUUUGGAUGGACUCACGGCUUAUCAGCUUGUUGGUGGGGUAGUGGCUUACCAAGGCUUUGACGGGUAGCCGGCCUGAGAGGGCGACCGGCCAAAUUGGGACUGAGAUACGGCCCAGACUCCUACGGGAGGCAGCAGUGGGGAAUAUUGCACAAUGGGCGGGAGCCUGAUGCAGCAACGCCGCGUGCGGGAUGACGGCCUUCGGGUUGUAAACCGCUUUCAGCAGGGGCGAAGCUUGUGGUGACGGUACCUGCAGAAGAAGCACCGGCUAACUACGUG
rnacentral:rRNA from 1 species